AACUAGCGGGACUGAGCGCUCCACAGGCGCCUUCUCUCCAGCGCCGCGUCCCGUCCCCCACGGCAUGACCGACGUCCUGCCCCAGCCCGACUGCAGCCCGGAGGCGGGGCGCGAACCCCUGGAGCUGGAGGAGUCGGGGAGCAAGCGCCCCCCCAACACUGGCGCCCGGCUCUGGGGCCGCGUGCGCAACAAGCUGCUCCGAAACAAGCUGGACCCACAAACUGUGGAGACCAAGAACUGGCACACGGACGUGAUUGAGAUGAACGGGAUCAAAGUGGAAUUUUCCAUGAAAUUCACCAGCCGAGAUAUGAGCCUGAAGAGGACGCCGUCCAAAAAGCAGACCGGCGUCUUCGGUGUGAAGAUCAGCGUCGUGACUAAACGGCCAGCGUGGAGCCAGAGUGGCCGCGGAGGCGCUCACACGACGCUUUAGAAGCACGUGAGCCAGCACUUAAACGCUGGAAGGUCUCUUGUGAGAUCCCAGAUCGUCUGCACCUCGUAAUAAGCGGGAAGCUGUGUCAGCCGGGGGCCUGCGUUUGGGCU
rnacentral:sRNA from 1 species